rnacentral:rRNA from 1 species
UACGUAGGGUCCGAGCGUUGUCCGGAAUUAUUGGGCGUAAAGAGCUCGUAGGCGGUUUGUCGCGUCUGCUGUGAAAUCCCGAGGCUCAACCUCGGGUCUGCAGUGGGUACGGGCAGACUGGAGUGCGGUAGGGGAGACUGGAAUUCCUGGUGUAGCGGUGAAAUGCGCAGAUAUCAGGAGGAACACCGGUGGCGAAGGCGGGUCUCUGGACCGAUACUGACGCUGAGGCGCGAAAGCGUGGGGAGCAAACAGG